UCACACACUACGUACAUUAUAUAAAAUCGAUUUACGAUUUAUGUUUGGUUAUAUUUAACUUUUGUGUAUACAAAACAUUAUAAAUAAGGUUGUGUGUGUUAUCAAAGUGGUAUUUAAUAUUGUGUGAUAUUAAAUUGUUAAUUUAAAUUGCAUAAAAUUUGUUAUUUCAAUUGAUUUUGGAACCGAAACUGCACCAAAUGAAACUGCACCGCACAGUUCAAAAUCGUACUGCACCAAUCACAAACGGUUUCAUGUGCGAUUUUGAAUUUAUCAAACCGCACCUAAACGAUUUUGUGUGUAGUUUGG
rnacentral:lncRNA from 1 species